GGUUUUACAUAGGAAUUCCUGAGCGCGCCCCCGGCGCAAAAUCUAUUCAUAAAGGCUUAAAAAUAAUGGCUUAAAAAAAUAGUUGGCCAAAUUAUUGCUCUUAAAAAUUUCGAUUUUUCGCAAAGCUCUCAUUCUAAAUUCCCUUGUAGAAGCUCAUCAAUCAAUGCUUUCUAUGGUGUAAGUAUGUAUUACACAGGACAAAAUCCAAUAUUUCAUUUAAUUGAUAAUGUUGAAUUGCUCGGGUGAUUUCAACAAACUAGUAGAGAAUGUUAAGCCUUCAAGUCGGCGGCGGAGAAAAUACCCAACGAUUUUUCGUUUAAGUCAGCGACUUCAUAGGAAUUAGUGCC